rnacentral:rRNA from 1 species
UACGAAGGGGGCUAGCGUUGCUCGGAAUCACUGGGCGUAAAGGGCGCGUAGGCGGCGUUUUAAGUCGGGGGUGAAAGCCUGUGGCUCAACCACAGAAUGGCCUUCGAUACUGGGACGCUUGAGUAUGGUAGAGGUUGGUGGAACUGCGAGUGUAGAGGUGAAAUUCGUAGAUAUUCGCAAGAACACCGGUGGCGAAGGCGGCUCACUGGCUCAUUACUGACGCUCAGGCGCGACAGCGUGGGGAUCAAACAGG